ensembl:lncRNA
GGGAUGGACUCCUCCUGAUUUCCUAUCAUACGUUCCUUUUCAUUUUCCCCUUCUCUUACCAGACUGAACUCUCUGGCAGCUGUGGAAGGGGCCAAGUUUUUAUCAUCCUUACAGAGACAGCCUUUCUUUGGCGAUAGCGGCGAAGCAGUAGGCUGCUCAAGGGCCAUUUCUAUCACCGGACCUCAUCUGUCAUGGUGUGUUUGUCUGAUAAACCUUUCCCUGCACAGAGCAAUAGGAAUCUCACCCCAGCUACACCCACUCCAGCCUAUUUCCUUAAUAAACAGAAGUAAGCCAAAGAGCUUCCAGCCUUGUGCUGUUUUAGCUGAGAAAAACCAGAAAGAGAAGGUCAGGAUGGAAUGCAACUCCCUUUCCUUUGUGACCUCCUCAAAGGAAGAUGAGAGAGCAGUGUGAGAUUUCUGAUUCCACCCAAAGAGGUGCGACUCGGCUUAGAGUUAAAACUCCCCAAACGCCUAUGAUGUGCGAGGGAAGUGAGUUAAAUGUUUGGCCUGGGAGCCAAUCCAGGGUUGAGUACCGGUUCUCCUGCUGACCAGCUUUAUGAAUGGAGCAGUUUAUUCUUAGGUCCUCUAGACUCCGGCUUCUUCCUGUUUAAGAUGGUGAUAACGAUAGCAUCUGUUUCAUUGGGAGAAUUACAUUUUUAAAAGUCUGCAAAGGGCUUACCUUCAUAUCUGGAGCAAGCACAAUUGUUGACUCUAACGAGCGCUCCUGGAACACCUACUGUGUGCCAAGAACCAUGCCACAGAACUAGGGCAUGCUCUGUAGUUUAAUCCCUAUGUCAGCCCGUUCUUCCCAAUAAGAACACCGAGGAUCAUAGAAGUUAAAGAGCAUGCUUCACGUUGCACAGUCAUCGGAGUGCUGGGAAUUUGGACCCGUAUCUCUCUCUCAGUAUUGUGGCCUCCUGAAAGCUUCAGUGCCCAAAUAACUGAAUCCAUCACACAGCCACGUCCCCGGUAGUAAACCCUUCCCCCUAGGUGAUUGGGGGGAUAAAAUGCAGGCGCAUUUAUCAAAGCAGAGAUGUGUUUAACCCCCUGGACACCUCACCUCCUCCAUGUUCUUUGGAGGACGUGCUCGGGCCGCCACCCCGGGGCUUGGCAGGGCUCAGGGGACUCAAUGCCUCCUGAGAGAUGCUUCCCCUGACCACACUCUCUGAGAUUGUUAUUCUUCCACACCACAGCUGCCUCCAAGGCAGUAUCAGAAUCAGGAAAUCACAGGUGUAUUUGUUUGAGUCCUUGCCGGCUACUCCCACUGCUGGAGAGGAGUCCAUGGCAGAGACUUUGGCUUUGUUCAAGCUGUAUCUGUAGCACACGGCCUAGCGCUCAGACGUGGGAGGGUCACAGUAGAUAUGCGACCCCUUUGCCAAUGAAGAGCCCUGACUCUUGAGAAAAGCCUGCAGUCCUGUCAGGCCAGCGUUGUGUUGGAGGAACCACACAGCCAGGCUUCCAGUAAUAGAGAAAGGGAGUGUGUGAGGAGUGAAAGUUGCCUGAAUUCUCUGCUUGCAUGUCCCCUUCAAGCCCUUUUGAUGUCAGGAGAGAGCUGUCCUCAAUUCUUUUGCAGGGAGGCAGGCCUCGGGGUGCAGCCCCUGGCUAAAUAUGUCCUAGCUCAGCGUCUGCUCCAUCCUCAUUAACUCCACUGCGUAGCUGGCCAUGGGGCAAGAUUCAUUUAGUGACUGAGCUUAAUAAAUAGAUGCUUCUGGUCUUGCAUUUCAGGCAUCACUCUCAGAGGCUAAGAGCUCAUUGAAGUGCUCCUUUCAAGAUGUCAAGGGCAAGCAGCUGGGCUUGGGGGAAGUGCAGAGAUAAUUCUGCUGAGCCUUUGUUUCCCAGCCCGUCUGGCAAUCACCAGCACUGCGGCAACGACAGGAAAAGCCUUCAACGCCCACUUCCUUGCCACACAAGAGCCGCAUUUCUGAACUGGGUCAGCCGGGUGAGGCGUGGCCACCUGUAUGGACCUCCAGGCACGUGAAGCCACUCUUGCCGAAGACGUUUGGUUGGAGAAUUUUGGUUUUGUGGCUGUGUACACGUUCUGUCAUUGCAUGGCCUGUGAUGCAGAGAGCAUAUCUCUUCCCCCUGAAAAGCCUUGGCAGAGAGCUUUCAUUUUGGAGGAAGCUUAUUUCCGGGCAACCAUCUCCAGGGAAAAUGAGUGUGAGGCAGUAGGCAGUAAACAACAUCGUAUCCCAUAGGGACGGAGGUGACCCGAAUGAGCUCCGGAGCGAGUCCGUGAUAGCGGCAGAAUCAUUACAGUGUGUGCGCCUGCCCAAGUCCAUGUGUAAUUGUAAUGUAUAAUUAAUACAGAGCUAAAAUUAAACUCCUGGGUGAAAGAGACGGGCAGGCUGAGGAGGCUGAGGAAUAUCAACCUCUAAGAUACAGCUUGUUUAUGACAAAUGUAGGAUUGGGUUGCUCUUCAUUUCAGUGGGCGUGUGCCUGUGUUUUGGGUUGCUCUUUGCUAAUAUUUCAGCCUUGAGGAAUAAGGAUUCCACAGUUAUCCUCUUCCCAUUCCUUCCAACCCCAGGAAGAAACUCUCUUUCAAGUAACCUUGUCCUCAGGCCACUGAAGUACUUUGGUUUUUCCAG